UACGAAGGGUGCAAGCGUUAAUCGGAAUUACUGGGCGUAAAGCGUGCGUAGGCGGUGAGUUAAGUCUGUCGUGAAAUCCCCGGGCUCAACCUGGGAAUGGCGAUGGAUACUGGCUCGCUAGAGUGUGAUAGAGGAUGGUGGAAUUCCCGGUGUAGCGGUGAAAUGCGUAGAGAUCGGGAGGAACAUCAGUGGCGAAGGCGGCCAUCUGGAUCAACACUGACGCUGAGGCGCGAAAGCUAGGGGAGCAAACGGG
rnacentral:rRNA from 1 species